UACAGAGGGUGCGAGCGUUAAUCGGAAUAACUGGGCGUAAAGGGUGCGUAGGCGGAACAUUAAGUCAGAUGUGAAAGCCCCGGGCUUAACCUGGGAACGGCAUUUGAUACUGAUGUUCUAGAGUAGAGGAGAGGAGAGUAGAAUUUCAGGUGUAGCGGUGAAAUGCGUAGAUAUCUGAAGGAAUACCGGUGGCGAAGGCGGCUCUCUGGCCUCAUACUGACGCUGAGGCACGACAGCGUGGGGAGCAAACAGG
rnacentral:rRNA from 1 species